GCGCGCGCCGGGGGAGCAGGUUCGCUGUGGGACCUGGUCCCGACUCCCAGCGGCAGGACGCGGGGGCGGUGGAGGCGGGAGAGGCCGUUGGUGGCAGCAGCGCCGGCCGCUGAGCAUCCCCAGGAGGAGGCGGCCGACCACAGCCAGGGACUAGUACCUGCUGUUCCUGAGUUGGGAGGAGCGGAGAGCCCCACGGCCCGGCGGCUCUGAGCGCAUAGAAGUCUGAAUACAUCAUAAGCUCUGCUGGGCACCUUGGACUUACUCCUUCUGGACUGGGGUUCAAAAGAAAAGUGUUGGAAUUCUCCGCAACAUCACCCACUUGGGACACCGAAAUGAAAUGUCAUUCAUGGAUCUAGCUCUCCACCCCCCUUCACACUCCUAUCCCGCCACUCCCAAAGCUCCAGUGUCCUGCAUCUUUUCUCCAUUCCUACACGGAGGGGAACUAGACCUGCCCUGCAUGGCUCCUCCACGAUUUUCCUGGUCCUAGGCAACAGAACUAUGUUGGUUCCACUGGUUUUUGGACAUUGCACACCUGUGCAAAUAGGGAGAGGGAGAGUAUGAAUUAUCUACAAGUGGAUGCCCCAGAACUCAGCUGUUUUCUGUUGCAGGAGGAGUGUGAGAGUUCUCAUUGUAAUGGAAGAGAAACAAAGGAUGCAUGUUAAAUGAGCCUUUACUGAUAGUGUCUGAAGAAUCUUAAUGACACCAGCUUGAAGAUAAGAGCUAAUACAUCACACCUACUCAAACCAGAUCACCUUGAACAUCAGAAAAUUAUAUUAAAUAUAGGCCACUUGACAAGUUGCCUAAAGAUUGCCCAGCUACAGUAAAAAAAAGAAAUAUUAAAUGUGUGUAAAUCAUGCACUUUUGCCAAAUUAAAUAAAAGAAAUUCACACUGCA